UUUUUGCGUUAACGAUAGGAACGACAGCUUUUUUAACCGCUUUUUUGCGGUAAAAAACUACAGUGUAUAGCGUGUUAAAAC
rnacentral:sRNA from 1 species